CUGGAUCAUUUCAGUGAUUUCAGACAUCAGCAGACGACCAAAACAGAGUUAAACAGCGGAGCUUCACCCUGUUUGCACGGUUUCCCAAAGCAGUAUACAUUUCCCUUCAGUUGGUUUGUGGGCUUCUGGAUGUUUUUGCCUCUCUUCUCUGGACUUAGCGAGAGAAAAAAAAUGCAGGACGUCUUUGGGAUCCUGUUGAUGUUCACAGGAGCUGCAUCAGGUUUGCUGUUUCAGGAUCCUGUUGUCUGUAGAUUUAAUGAGAGUAGUCUGUGUUAUGUAGCUCUGGGACAACGACUGCACCUGCAAAUUCCCCUGGAGUAUAGGUUUGAACUAAAGAUCACAGACAAGACAUCUACCACUCGUUCCAUUUUAAGAUAUAUAAAAACCCAAAGUGACCCACCAAAACCAAAUGACCCAAGAUGGCAGUUUGAUAAAGAUAAAACUAUAAUACUAACCAGUGCAGAGAGGAGCGACUCUGGAACAUACACUUUAGACACCUUUGAUGCAAACGGAAAUAAUAAAGGCAGUUAUACUCUCCAGCUGUACAUUGAAGCUAAGGUGUCCUCAGUGAGCAUCCAGUACAACUGCUUGUUCCCUGAGGUCAGGAAAGUGCACUGUUCUGCUGAUGGAGACAACCUCCAGUUCAGCUGGACUUCUGAAUCAACCAUACGGUUGGAGAAUGAGAACAGCACUCUCGUACUGGAUAAAAAUAAUGAUGGAAAUGUCACCUGCCAUGUCGAAAAUCACGUCAGCCGUGACAACAAUUCCAUUGAACUCCAGUCAUGUCCCAAUUUCACUCUGAUUAUCCUGAGCUUGGUUUGUGUGCUUCUCAUUGUACUAUCGGUCUUAGCGUUCUACAUAUACAAGAGACUAGGCCUAUGGAAAAAAGGUCAGAAGGACCCUUCUCAGGAUGGCAAGGAGCUUGUGUAUGCGGACAUCACCCAUUUACCCACGAACAAGACAGAGACAAGACCAACUACAUCACAAGCUCAGGACAAGGACAUGGAGUAUGCCACGGUGGUCACUCAUCCCAGCCAGAGGAACCAGAAGAAGAACGAGGAAGAGGUGCAGUAUGGCAAGCUGGUGUUUAACACGCCUGACCAAAAAAAGAGCGUGAUGCCCAAAGUGCAAGAAGAGUGUGUGUACUCACAGGUCCAGCAUGGUCAAUAAGGGACACACUCUUAGCCUGUCUCGGUAUGUAUUUUAUUGCAAGAUCAUUCUGGUAGAGGAAGUAGCUGUUGAUGACAUUUCACCCAUACACACUCAUCUCUUACCCAAAAUCAAACCAUUUCACUAUCUGAUUAUCUAAUUACUAAAUCUUUUAGGCUGCAUACAAGCACAGUGGUUAGUGUUUCAUAAAGUGGGUACCAAAAAGGAAUGAAUGAAUUUAUGUAAUUUUCUAUUUAAAUGUAAUGUUUUGCAGUUGCCAUUUUACGUCCAUUCCACUAGGAUGAAAUGAAACCGUGUAUUGAGUGCUGAGUUCCUAGGCUUUUUUCCCCAAAGGCAUUUGUGACUCAGUAUCAUUUCACUAAUGAAGAGAAAAUAAAUGGGAUCUUCCUUCUUGCAGCUUUAAGUGUUGAACUUAAGACACAGCUGUGGCUUCAUGGACAGCUCACACACUGCUCUUUGAGUUGCUCCAUCUUUCAAAACCAACAUUUCUGCUUCUCAGUUUAAAACAAAAUGACACCUUGUCACUGUGGUCAAGUGCUGUACAUAAGAAGUGUGUAAAUUAUUCUACGAGGUUGUUUUCUACCAUUUAAAAAAUGUUACAUGGAUAAAAUGAAUGGUUAAAAUGUCAAAUUGUUCAGUUGUAAAUGGAUUUUCAGCUUAUGAUGUCUAAAACUUUCAGUUUGUGAAAUUGUGUGUGAAAUCAUGCCUUAAGAAUUGACACCUGAUGUUUACUCUCUUGCUAAACACAUGGGCAGAAAAAGCAUCAGCCAAGUCAGAGAUAUUAUUUUUUUAAUUUUAUUUUUAAUUUUUUUUUUAAAGCUAUAAAUGUGUAUAGAUGGAUGUAUUAUAUUUCACAUUGCCUUGGUUGCAUUGUCAAUUUCAAACUUGUAUCUUUGUAUUAUAUUGCAAUAAUUAAUGGAAAACCUAUUCCUGUAACUAUGCAGAGCCUCUGUUAGUACAUUUAUUCUUGAGUAAAGCAGUGUUUUACAGUGUUGCACUGUUACCUUCUCUGGAAAAUGAAAAGAGGAUGGAACGCACUUGCCUGCAUAUGCAAACAUGUUCAUGCAGACCAUUUAUUUGCGUCAUAAUUAUCCCAGCUUGUGUGGUUGGUGGAGAGCAAUUGCAGUGCUUGGUUCUAAAAAUUAAAGAAAUAAGGGUGUUGUCAUCAGGGAGUGUUGGUGUUACUGACACCAAAUAGGGUCAUUUAAAAAAAAAAAAAAAUGAAUAUCACAAUCAUUCUUUAACAGUUGAUUGCUGAUAUUCCUAUCCUUUAAGGUUUUUUUUGCAUUGGAAGUUUAAAAAAAUUACAUAGGAUUAAGAUCAAAUGGGUGGGUAGUAUUAAUAAACUUGAUGAUUACACAAGGUAGUAAGCACUCAGCUUACAAUUUGUGAUAUAAAAGUGUAUAUAUGUGAAGGAGACUAUUUGCUGACACACUUUUCAUAACUUGGUUAAAUAAAUUGUUCCUCUUUUUUUGUUGAACCAAUCUAGAUGAGUUAAUGGCAUAGUUUAAGGUUUUAAAACUGUACUGAAUUUUUACAGAAAAAAUACCUAUGCAUAAAUUGUUUGUUCUUAAUUCCCAGAAUGCCUCUACUGACUCUAUUAUUCAUGUUUAUUUAUCAACGGCAUUUAUACAAUGAUAUUUAAGAUUUGCUGGCAACUUUUGCAUGGCAGUAAUGAGUAUGAGAGUGCUGAAAAGCUGCCUGAAGUUCUUGUGAUAGCCAUGUUCCAUGUCCAAUCAGCAAUGGGCAUAUGUUGUUCAAUAAGGACCUCCCAUUUCUGUUGAUGUGUUAAUAAUUGGCAGCUGUGGUGUCCUCAGUGAAAGUGUGGUACUGCUGCUUGUUCCCUGAAAUCAGAAAAGUGUACUGUUUUGCUGAUGGAGACAACCCACAAAUACCAGAAACCAGAUGACACUAAACAAUGGGCAAAGGAACUAAAAGCUUCAGACGCUGGUGAUGACACAUCUUCUGUCAUAUUUGUCCUUCAUGAUAGGCUGAUAGCUGUUUCAAUGAUGCUCUGAGCACUUCUGACCACCCACUUCUCCAAGGAUGUAGAUUGAUCUUCCUCAGAAUGUUGAUGGUGAUGGGCCUUCUUGAUGAGGGGCGAGGUGUGGAGGACUCAACAGAAGUCUUGUGUUAAGACUUGAAGCUGUUGACUCUACAGCAGUUCCAUUAAUGGAGAUGGGUCUGUGGGUCACACUCAGUUUCCUGAAGUCAACGAUCUGCUCCUGGGUCUUGCUGAUGUUGGUGCACAGGUUGUUUCUAGGUCACUAGCAGUUCCACCUUCUCCCUGUAGGCUGUCUCAUCAUUGAUGUUUAUUUAAUGAUGGAGUUUGUGUUAUGCCUAAGGUAGGGUGACCAUACUGUACGUCCUCUUUUCCCUGGACAUGUCCUCUAUUUCGCACAUUAAAAAAGCAUCCAGACAAAAAUAGCGGGAAAAAUAGCCUCUUAGAUAAUCGGUAUUGGCCAAUACAUCGGUGCAUCUCUAAUAUAUCUAGUAAUAAUAUAUAUGUGAUGAAAAGUUUUCAUUCACAGUAACAUUGUUUUGAACAUGCAUCAGACACCAUGGUCCUAUACCACGGUCCAGCUUUCGUGACUGUGAUGAGAUCAAAAUGACUUGGUUGUUGUGUGAUAUUUAUAGACCAUGAACGUAUUUGUGAGAAAAAUAUUUCGUCCAUACCAUACCACACCAUCACCACCACCAUACCACAGGAGUGCUGAAUGCACAAGCAAUGAGUUCUCACUUACAAUUCAAGGAAACUAGGCAGUAUAAAUUUAAAUAUUUUACGUUGAUAAAGAAACACAUUUCACUCAGCAACAGAGAGCUGUUUAUUGAUCAGCUCUAUGGAUAAACUAGCAAGACUUUUCUUUAAUAGACCGGCUAAACACCCUCUUUCUUUCUUUCAUUCUUUCUUUCUAUCCAGUAACUUAGAAUACAGGAAGUGAGCGGUUAUAACAGUAACUUUGGAACUUCCUCUACUUCUCAGUAAAGCAUAAUUAGAACUGUAAAAGGAGAUUCAUCUUGCUAUUGUAGUUUCUCAUCACUCACGACUAAGAUCUCUAACAAGUACAGAGAGGACUGUUCUCUGGACAAAAUGAGAAUACAGGUCAUCUUUGGAAUCCUGCUGAUUUUCACAAAAGCUGCCAUGGGUAGGUUUUAUCCUCUCAAAAUGCACAAUUCAUUUAUUUGUUACAUGUACAGUUGUACAGUUUAUGCUUUAUGGAAUGACAAAUAGAAUAAAUGUAGGUUAAACAAGUGAGACCAGAUAUCAGUAAAUCAGUCGUCUUUUAAUGAACACUUCCUGCACUUCAAAAGUACAAAAAUUUCAUCUAUAAAAUAAUGUUUUAGAAAAAAAACCAUAAUAUCCGAGGAAAAUACGACUUCCACUGGCAAUAAAUGGUCUAAUAUGUAUUAAACAAUGACAUGUUGAUAUGCAGAACUGGCCUACUGCUUAACCCUGUGCAGACUUUUCUUUUCCAUCAUCAGUGUUAACAUGUAGCUUUAAAAGGAGUCUAAAGAAAGUGCAGUUUUAACAGUGCAAUUUAGGGAUGGGCGAUCUGACAAAAAUAUCUCAUCAGUGAUCACAAUACACUAUAGGAAAUAUGUAUUUUUGUUGGAUUUUAAAUUUACGUUUAUUUAUCUGUCAUAUAUAUAAUUCAUAUAUAAUUAUUAAUCUAGUCUUUGGAUGAUGGUUGGUGAACAAAAAAAUACUUUUUUCAGAAAAAGACUUACACAACAGGUUGUUGAAAUAUCAUUUAUCUAUCUUUUAAUCAAGAAAACACCUUUUUAAAUUGCCUCUUUGUGAUUUGCACCAAAUAUGUGCACUUAUUUCCAUUUUCUUUUCUUUAUUAAAGACUGUAGCACAGUCUCAGUACACAAAAUCAAGCUCUCCUAUAAUAAUGGAGUGUCAUUUAUUAGAGGAUAAAGGGGUGUGUAAUAAUAUCAGUGUGUAAUAAUAUUAAGAAUGUUCCUAUUUUUUUUCUCCCUUUGCAGCUUUGCUGUUUCCGGGGUGUAUUUCAGUGUGUUAGAAUAAUGAGACCAUGAUCUUAUAUUUCUUCUUCUGCAGGUUUGCUGUUUCAGGAUCCUGUUGUCUGUAGAUUUAAUGAGAGUAGUCAGUGUUAUAUAGCUCUGGGACAACGACUGCACCUGCAAAUGCCCCUGGAGGAUAGGUUUGAACUAAAGAUCACAGACAAGACAUCUACCACUCGUUUCAUUUUAAAAUAUAGAAAAACCCAAAGUAACCCACCAAAACCAAAUCUCCCAAGAUGGCAGUUUGUUAAAGAUAAUAAAACUAUGAUACUAACCAGUGCAGAGAGGAACGACUCUGGAACAUACACUUUAGAUAUUUAUGAUGCAAACAGGAAUACUAAAGGCAGUUAUACUUUCCAGGUGAACAUUGCAGCUGAGGUGUCCUCAGUAAAUAUGUGGUACAGCUGCUUGCUCCCUGGAGUCAUGAAAGUGUACUGUUCUGCUGAUGGAGACAACUUCCGCUUCAACUGGACUUCUGAUUUAAACACAUUCCCUCAACUGGAGGACGGGAGCAGCACUGUCGUACUGAAUAAAGACCAUCAUGGAAAUGUCACCUGCCAUGUAGAAAAUCAUGUCAGCCGUGACCACAAUACCACUGAACUCCACCCAUGUCCUGAACCUACUACUGCAGUAAUCAGCUCCACAACUUCUAAUGAUGGUUUGCUGUUUCAGGAUCCUGUUGUCUGUAGAUUUAAUGAGAGUAGUCAGUGUUAUGUAGCUCUGGGACAACGACUGCACCUGCAAAUUCCCCUGGAGGAUGGGAUUGAACUAAAGAUCACAGACAAGACAUCUACCACUCAUUUAAUUUUAAAAUAUAGAAAAACCCAAAGUAACCCACCAAAACCAAAUCACCCAAGAUGGCAGUUUGUUAAAGAUAAUAAAACUAUGAUACUAACCAGUGCAGAGAGGAACGACUCUGGAACAUACACUUUAGACACCUUUGAUGCAAACGGGAAUAAUAAAGGCAUUUAUAGUCUCCAGCUGUACAUUGAAGCUGAGGUGUCCUCAGUGAAUAUGUGGUACAGCUGCUUGUCCCCUGGAGUCAUGAAAGUUUACUGUUCUGCUGAUGGAGACAACCUCCGCUUCAACUGGACUUCUGAUUUAAACACAUUCCCUCAACUGGAGAACGGGAGCAGCACUGUCGUACUGAAUAAAGACCAUCAUGGAAAUGUCACCUGCCAUGUAGAAAAUCACGUCAGCCGUGACCACAAUACCACUGAACUCCACCCAUGUCCUGAACCUACUACUGCAGUAAUCAGCUCCACAACUUCUAAUGAUGGUUUGCUGUUUCAGGAUCCUGUUGUCUGUAGAUUUAAUGAGAGUAGUCAGUGUUAUGUAGCUCUGGGACAACGACUGCACCUGCAAAUUCCCCUGGAGGAUGUGUUUGAACUAAAGAUCACAGACAAGACAUCUACCACUCGUUCAAUUUUAAAAUAUAGAAAAACUAAACGUAACCCACCAAAACCAAAUCUCCCAAGAUGGCAGUUUAUUAAAGAUAAUAAAACUAUGAUACUAACCAGUGCAGAGAGCAGCGACUCUGGAACAUACACUUUAGAAACCUUUGAUGCAAACGGAAAUAAUAAAGGCAUUUAUACUCUCCAGCUGAACACUGAAGCUAAGGUGUCCUCAGUAAAAUUAUCGUACAGUUGCAUGUUCCUUGGAGUCAGGAAGGUGCAGUGUUCUGCUGAUGGAGAAAACCUCUACUUCAGCUGGACUUCUGAAAUAACCACUCGGUUAGAGAAUGGGAACAGCACUCUCCUACUGGAUAAAAACUGUAAUGUAAACAUUACCUGCCAUGUUGAAAAUCACGUCAGCCAUAUCCACAGAUCCAUUGAACUCCACUCAUGUUCUGGUUUUAUGGUGGUGUUUUUGUCUGUGUGGAUCUUUCAAGUCAUCAUCCUGCUGUCUCUGUUAGUGGGAGCGUACAUCUACCCCAGAAUCUACAGGAAACAGAGGACACCUGAGAUUCAGGAAGCUCUGUAAACCUGGAUUAGGAACAGAAGAAGCAGAUCUCCUCUAUGCAACCAUCAAUAACAGAUGGCUAACAGAGAACAUAAAUUUAAUUCCUCAAUCCACAAAAAAAUUCAAAUAAAUCAGACUCAAGAUUCCUGUAGAUUCGUUGAGGCACCGAGUGCUAAUUUUCAGUUGUUUCUGGUAUUCUUUCUUUUUUAAUAUUUUAAAAAUAAUGCAAUGCUUUGAUACAGUUGUUACAAACAUGCCAACAAUGCUUUUGUGGGAAUGAUUUUAAUAAAGUUUUUGAAAUGUAAAUGUAGGUAUAUGUACUGUACGUGUGAAUGCUGAAAUAAAGUCUUUUUUUUUUUUUUUAACUGACACACCUAAACUCACUGUUCUUGAUGUAUGAUGUAACUUUUGAGUUCUAAAUUCAAC
ensembl:lncRNA